rnacentral:rRNA from 1 species
UACGUAGGGUGCAAGCGUUGUCCGGAAUUAUUGGGCGUAAAGAGCGUGUAGGCGGCCAGGUAGGUCUGCUGUGAAAACUCGAGGCUCAACCUCGAGACGUCGGCGGAAACCAUCUGGCUAGAGUCCGGAAGAGGAGAGUGGAAUUCCUGGUGUAGCGGUGAAAUGCGCAGAUAUCAGGAAGAACACCCGUGGCGAAGGCAGCUCUCUGGGACGGUACUGACGCUGAGACGCGAAAGCGUGGGGGAGCGAACAGG